GCCCAGGUAGCUCAGUCGGUAGAGCAGCGGACUGAAAAUCCGCGUGUCGGUGGUUCGAUUCCGCCCCUGGGCACCA
rnacentral:tRNA from 7 species